GACGAACGCUGGCGGCGUGCUUAACACAUGCAAGUCGAACGGUAAGGCCCUUCGGGGUACACGAGUGGCGAACGGGUGAGUAACACGUGGGUGAUCUGCCCUGCACUUCGGGAUAAGCUUGGGAAACUGGGUCUAAUACCGGAUAGGACCACGGUCUGCAUGGAUUGUGGUGGAAAGCUUUUGCGGUGUGGGAUGGGCCCGCGGCCUAUCAGCUUGUUGGUGGGGUGAUGGCCUACCAAGGCGACGACGGGUAGCCGGCCUGAGAGGGUGUCCGGCCACACUGGGACUGAGAUACGGCCCAGACUCCUACGGGAGGCAGCAGUGGGGAAUAUUGCACAAUGGGCGCAAGCCUGAUGCAGCGACGCCGCGUGGGGGAUGACGGCCUCGGUUGUAACGUACUUCUAGCAUCGACGAAGCGCAAGUGACGGUAGGAUGCAGAAGAAGAC
rnacentral:rRNA from 1 species